AGGUCCCUGUUCCCAAACAAAGGCUACUCCAGGCCAAUCAAGUCACCUGACUCCAAUUAAACCAGUUAAGGUCAUUGAGCUAAUGCAGGCCCCUGGCUCCAAUUAACCGGCAAAGGGUCAGUUAAGGCUGUUAGGCUAAUGGAGACAGCUGGAACUAAUCAAGCUCUUAUUCAUACUGCUUAAAAGCUCUUCUUCCAGUUCCCUCAAGGAAGCCCUGGUGAAAGGCGCUGGAGGAGAGGAUGCAUCGCUGAGACCUGAGGCUGACAAUGAAUCUGAAAGCUCCCAGGAGAAGGCCAGUGUGGUUGAAAUGUAGGAUUUCUGAAUGUGCACAUAGAUGUUCCACUGCAGGUGACUCAUCAGCAGUUUCCUUCCAGGUGGAGGCUUCAGGUCAUCUGAACAGAGAUGGUAAAACACUGAUUUGCUGAAGUUGGCUGUGACGUGUUGGACCCCCCUCCUGGGAUGCCAGCUGAUGUCCUGGGAUUUCACUGAGCCUCCCCUGCUCAACCAGCCUGGGUUCCCUCUCCCUGCUCUGCUGAAUUAGGCUCUCUGGCCUCUGACAGCACACAC